rnacentral:rRNA from 1 species
ACGGUUGACCUCGGAUCAGGUAGGAAUACCCGCUGAACUUAAGCAUAUCAAUAAGCGG